AUAUAUCAACCUCCUCAGGUUUUUACUUGUCGAGUGUUUGGAUGUGGGGGUGUGUUUUGCUGGUCUCUUUUGAGUUCAGCUCCCCUGAAAUGCAUUAGCGGAACAAUUUGUUGACCGUUCAUUGGUGUGAUAACUAUCUACGCUAUUGACGUGAAGCAGGUUCAGCUUCUAACAGUCCAUUGACUUGGACAAAUUUUUAUUA
rnacentral:misc_RNA from 1 species